ensembl:lncRNA
UAGUCCCAGUACUUGGCAGGCAGAGGAAGGUAAAUCAUUAGUUCGAGGCCAGCCUGGUCUACAUGGGUUCCAGGACCCUGGAAGCUCUGUCUAGAGAAACACACAGACAAACAAACAAACGAACAAAAAACAAACCAAAAACCCCAGAAGUCUGUACUGAAAAACCUUGUCUCGAACAAAAAAACAAAAAACAAAAAACAAAAUAAAAAUAAAAAACCCAAAAAACAAAAAAACUUGAACAGGCAAGAUUGUUGCAAGUUUUUAAUAUGUUGCAUUUCUCUAUAUUCUUAAGUCAUUUUAAGAUUUUACAGUGCAAGAAGUAUAUUAUGAUUUUAUUCAAAACAUAAAGCUUGAAAGUUAAAAGAAUCAUUUGGAGAAUAUUACGGCAGUCAAACUCAUUUGACUCGAAGGAGGGACCUCUACAGCAAAUGCAACUUCAAAAAGUUUUAAAAGUUAGCCCCACAAGAUGGGUACACCGACCAUUUCCGGAGGCUGAAGGAGGUAGGUGGAGAAAAGGAAGACCAGCCAGGCUUGUAUACUGUCUUUAAAAAAAAAUCUUUUUAUUUGCCGGCUGGAUAAUGAAAUCAGAAGAAUUUUGAUUUAAAAACAAGUAAGCAAACAGAGUUCCAAACCCUUUAAAACAGUCAGCCUUGAGGUAGCACAUGCCUGCGGGUAAUGCCAAAACUUCGAAGGAUCACCCUGAGGCCACCCAGGGCAACAUAAUAAAACGCUCUUUCAAAACCAAAAAGCAUAAUAAAAACAAAAUUGAAAACCGUACAUAGAUUGCUACAUCACCAAGCUCGAAGAGAUCUUGUUUCCGACAAAUUGAGCCCGCGGAUACAGUAAUGACAGAAACUGUCAACUAAGCUGCAGCACCUUAGAUCCAGUUACCAACGUCCCUCCAGUAGUAGCCUUUCUUGUUCCAAUUCGGCACGGCACCCUUCCACCCGUCCUCCAGGGAGGGACCUAGGCAGGCGCUGUUGUAAAAGUUCUUUUAUGAACCAGGCAUGGGCCACCCACACACGAAUCAAGUAGCGUCACGGGAUGUCAGCACCUCGAACUCUUUCUUUCACUAGAGCCCCGCCCGGGAAGAGACUUAGCCGCAGGUCGCUCAGGCAAGGAUCGCUGCGGGAGGCGACAAGGUUGCCCAAUAGUUCCCUAGCUGCCCCGGUGACGCAGCAGCUCCGGCCGGACUCCGGACACCCAGCGCGCGCCGCCCGUCCCCAACGCCCGCAGUCCUCGGCCUCCGUUUUGGAUCCCGGCGUAUCGGUGCAGUGACCUCAGCGCCCAUCUCCGGAAGCCCCAGGCGAAAGCCAGAGGUAGCGCGGGUUAGGAGUGCGCAGGCCGAGGCUCGGCUAGACCGAGUGGCUUCCCCGAGGGGC